CAAUAGCGUAUAUUUAAGUUGUUGCGGUUAAAAAGCUCGUAGUUGGAUUUCUGCUGAGGACGACCGGUCCGCCCUUCGGGUGAGUAUCUGGUUUGGCCUUGGCAUCUUCUUGGUGAACGUAUCUGCACUUGACUGUGUGGUGCGGUACCCAGGACUUUUACUUUGAGGAAAUUAGAGUGUUUCAAGCAGGCAUACGCCUUGAAUACAUUAGCAUGGAAUAAUAAGAUAGGACCUCGGUUCUAUUUUGUUGGUUUCUAGAGCUGAGGUAAUGAUUAAUAGGGAUAGUUGGGGGCAUUCGUAUUUAACUGUCAGAGGUGAAAUUCUUGGAUUUGUUAAAGACGGACUACUGCGAAAACAUUUGCCAAGGAUGUUUNCAUUG
rnacentral:rRNA from 1 species